GGUGCUAUAGCCAAGUUGUUACGGCGACAGAUUCGAAUAGGAUGUACUACUCACAUAUUUUUCCAAGACAUUUUUUCCUCUUUGAGGGUGCAGGUUCACAUACUGCUGGCGUCG